rnacentral:rRNA from 1 species
AAAUUGGAAGGGUUUGAUCCUGGCUCAGAACGAACGCUGGCGGCGUGGCUAAAGCAUGCAAGUCGGACGAAUUAUCUUUGUGGGUAACUAUGGAGAUAGUUAGUGGCGAAAGGGUGAGUAAUAUGCGGAUAACGUACCCCGAACACGAGGAUAGCUAGUCGAAAGAUUAGGUAAUACUCGAUGAUACCCGAGAGUCGCAUGGCUCGUGGGUCAAAAGAUGGCCUCUAUUUAUAAGCUAUCGGUUUGGGAGCGGUUCGCACCCUAUCAGCUUGUUGGUGAGGUAAUGGCUUACCAAGGCUAAGACGGGUAGCUGGUCUGAGAGGACGACCAGCCACAUCGGGACUGAGACACUGCCCGGACCUCCACGGAGGGCUGCAGCAACGAAUAUUCCGCAAUGCACGAAAGUGUGACGGAGCGACGCCGCGUGUAGGAUGAAGCCCCUCGGGGUGUAAACUACUGUCAGGGCUAAGCAACCAAUAAGGGUGAAUAAUCCUUAAAGUUGAGCUAUCCCAGAGGAAGCCACGGCUAACUCUGUGCCAGCAGCCGCGGUAAGACAGAGGUGGCAAGCGUUGUUCGGAAUUACUGGGCUUAAAGGGUGUGUAGGCGGUUAAGUAAGCAACUUGUGAAAGCUCCAGGCUCAACCUGGGAAUUGCAAGUUGUACUGCUUGACUUGAGGCGCGUAGGGGUCAACGGAACUCUGGGUGGAGCGGUGAAAUGCGUAGAUAUCCAGGGGAACGCCAGUGGCGAAGGCGGUUGACUGGGCGCGUCCUGACGCUGAGGCACGAAAGCGUGGGUAGCGAACGGGAUUAGAUACCCCGGUAGUCCACGCCCUAAACGAUGUAUACUGGCUUCAGGGACUUCUGACAGUUUCUGGAGCGUAGGGAAACCGUUAAGUAUACCGCCU